GUGACGAAGCGACGCCGCGUGUGGGAAGAAGGCCUUCGGGUUGUAAACCACUGUUGGGAGUUAGGAAAUGUGGAGGUGUUAAUAGCGCCUUCAUUUGACUAAAGCUCCAGAGGAAGCCACGGCUAACUCUGUGCCAGCAGCCGCGGUAAUACAGAGGUGGCAAGCGUUGUUCGGAAUUAUUGGGCGUAGAGAGCACGUAGGCGGCUCUGCAAGUCAGCUGUGAAAGCCUUCUGCUUAACGGAAGAACGGCAGUUGAAACUACAGGGCUUGAGUGCGGGAGGGGAGAGUGGAACUUCUGGUGGAGCGGUGAAAUGCGUAGAUAUCAGAAGGAACGCCGGCGGCGAAAGCGGCUCUCUGGUCCGUAACUGACGCUGAGUGUGCGAAAGCUAGGGGAGCAAACGGGAUUAGAUACCCGGUAGUCCUAGCCGUAAACGAU
rnacentral:rRNA from 1 species